GUCAAACUGCGGUAACCAUCGUGCGGUCCCUAUGUGAUCACUUCCUUGCUUCUCCGUCACUUUCAUCCCCUCAUCAUGUGAGGAUGCUUAGUCAGACCAACGGUGGGUUAUGUGGGAAAUGAUUGUAAGUAAUAUUGAGGUUUCUUAAAUUAACAUCUAGGUAAAUGAUAAGCAUUUAAUUUCUUUCAAAAUGUGAAAGUGUUUCAGCAUGAACCCAGGAUGAUCCACAUCUCGGCGUCAUUCUCCAAGUCUGCCAUCUCCACACCUACCACGGCUCCAAUAAUCGUACCGGUUGGACGUCGACUUUUUGUACUAGCACCGAGUACAUUUUAGGAUGAUGUCUAUGUGCUGGGUAGGAGUGGGGCAGGGAUGUACGACGCCCUACCGAGCGGCACCCACUCCGUGCGUCACGGCUCCGACAACCGUACCAGUUCGACAUCCGGACAUGCACCAGCAUCGAGUGCAUUUUUGGAUGAUGUCUGUGUGCUCCGUGGGAGUGGACCAAGGAGGACCAACACCCUGCAGAAGAGGACACAUUCUAUGUCGCCAUCCAUUUAUCUAAGUACGACGGAGUAGUAGAGAUGAGCAUCCCGGGGGGAUAUUUCACUAUGGAGAUAUCCCCAGGCACGGAGCGGAGGCGUGUCAGUCGGACGGCCAGAAGGCGGCAUGGGUUGAGAGCCACUCAGUCGAAACCAACACCUAUAUUGGCCGUUUCUUAAUCCCGAAGACUAGUCUCUGCGAGUAUUUCGUAAACAGCAAUUUUUGGUCACCACAAAGCCUAUAUCACUGUCCUUUACUUAUUGAGUUUAAAGUUCUAAAUAAGAGGAUCACUUUGUAUGUUACUUUGUUCUUUAUAGAUAGGAUAGGAUAUAAAAACCGGAACAAACACAAGAUAUUUAUUUUAUCAGUUAGCAAAUGUGCUUAAACCAUAAUAUUUCUAAAAUUUAAUCCUGAAUCCUGAAAAUCAAGUCAAGUGGAGCAACAACUUGUGAAAUUUUUGAAAGACUUGCUGAAGAAGAACUGAUGAUAAAAAGGAAAAGAUAAGCACAAUGGAGGACGAAAAUACUGUCCGAGAAAAUAAGAGCGGUAAGAAAAGGAUCAAUGACAGCGACACCAAUGGCAAUCAAGACGGUCAUGUAAAUAAAAUUAUUAACGACACGACGAAUGGCGCCAUGGGUAUAACCGCAGAUAAGUCUAAACUGAACGUAUAUUUGUUGAAAAAUACACCUCAGCCAGAAAAGGUGGAACACAUUGUUGCGGCAAGGCCUGUGGUAUGCAUCAUCAACAAUGAUUUAGUACAGAAUAUUCUCAAUUCGGACGAAUUCAAAGCAAUGCACAAACCAGUUCGGCCGGUGCCAAACACUUUGACCGUAGAUUGGAACUUGAUUAGAAUGGCUGUUCGGUCAAAUUAAUGUAAACCUGCGUGUAGGGGAGAGCCUCCAAAAAGGGAUGAUGGGACUCGCCGCCCAUAUAGGAAACCGCGCCAAGUGCAACGUAGACGGCGACACCAUGAGACCCAAAUUGUUUAUAAAUCGCAUAGGCAGAUGGCUUAUAUGCCAGCUUUCCACACGGAUAUAGCUGUUUGGCAGACCGUUAAGAGGAAGAGA